UACGUAGGGACCAAGCGUUGUCCGGAAUCAUUGGGCGUAAAGCGCGCGUAGGUGGCUUCAUAAGUCCGUUGUGAAAGUCAAAGGCUCAACCUUUUGAAAGCCGAUGGAUACUGUGGAGCUAGAGUACGGAAGAGGCGAGUGGAAUUCCUGGUGUAGCGGUGGAAUGCGCAGAUAUCAGGAGGAACACCAAUGCGAAGGCAGCUC
rnacentral:rRNA from 1 species